GUUUAAUUCGAUGCAACGCGAAGAACCUUACCUGGUCUUGACAUCCACAGAACUUUCCAGAGAUGGAUUGGUGCCUUCGGGAACUGUGAGACAGGUGCUGCAUGGCUGUCGUCAGCUCGUGUUGUGAAAUGUUGGGUUAAGUCCCGCAACGAGCGCAACCCUUAUCCUUUGUUGCCAGCGGUUAGGCCGGGAACUCAAAGGAGACUGCCAGUGAUAAACUGGAGGAAGGUGGGGAUGACGUCAAGUCAUCAUGGCCCUUACGACCAGGGCUACACACGUGCUACAAUGGCGCAUACAAAGAGAAGCGACCUCGCGAGAGCAAGCGGACCUCAUAAAGUGCGUCGUAGUCCGGAUUGGAGUCUGCAACUCGACUCCAUGAAGUCGGAAUCGCUAGUAAUCGUGGAUCAGAAUGCCACGGUGAAUACGUUCCCGGGCCUUGUACACACCGCCCGUCACACCAUGGGAGUGGGUUGCAAAAGAAGUAGGUAGCUUAACCUUCGGGAGGGCGCUUACCACUUUGUGAUUCAUGACUGGGGUGAAGUCGUAACAAGGUAACCGUAGGGGAACCUGCGGUUGGAUCACCUCCUUACCUUAAAGAAGC
rnacentral:rRNA from 1 species